rnacentral:rRNA from 1 species
AUGGCGGCCGCCAACGCAUUUACCAGCGCUUCCAUGCCCUGCGCUGCGAGCCUGAGCGGCUCUGCCAAUGUCAUCGCCGUGUGCCCACGCUCCCUGGCUGCCGCGAGGACGUCGCCCUCGUCGUGCUUGCGUCCUGCGCGGUGCGCCGCCGUCCGGACAGCAGCGCCCGUGGCGGCAACGUCGGAGGGUGACGAGAGGCGGUUCGAGCAGCUGGCGGUGCCGCCGGAGCUGGUGGAUGAGCUGGUGGAGGAGGCGCUCGUCUGGUGCUCGCAGCACGGCCUCGUCGUCGGCGACAAGAACCACCCGGUGACGUGA